GUGGCGUUAGCUCAGUUGGAUAGAGCAGCGGUCUUCUAAACCGCAGGUCAGGGGUUCGAUUCCCUUACGCCGCA
rnacentral:tRNA from 1 species